AUUGAACGCUGGCGGCAGGCCUAACACAUGCAAGUCGAGCGGAGCGGCGGACGGGUGGGUAAGGCCUGUGAAUCUGCCUGGUCGUUGGGGACAACUUACGAAAACGGGCGCUAAUAACGACUACUAUCAGUUGAGCCUGGGUAGGAUGAGCUAGCUGGUUGGUUAGAGGCCUACCAAGGCGACGACCCGUAAGUGGUCGGAGAGGAUGAUCAGUCAGACUGGAACUGAGACACGGUCCAGACUCCUACGGGAGGCAGCAGUGGGGAAUAUUGGACAAUUGGCGAAAGCCUGAUCCAGCCAUGCCGCGUGUGUGAAGAAGGUCUUCGGAUUGUAAAGCACUUUAAGUUGGGAGGCGUUACCAACAGAAUAAGCACCGGCUAACUUCGUGCCAGCCGCCGCGGUAAUAC
rnacentral:rRNA from 1 species